GAUGAACGCUAGCGGCGUGCCUAAUGCAUGCAAGUCGAACGGGAACCCUUUGAUUCGUCUAAGGGUGAGAGUGGCGAACGGGUGAGUAUCGCGUUGGUGACCUGCCCCAGAGAGGGGGAUAACUAUUGGAAACGAUAGCUAAUACCCCAGAUGUUAAGAUGUUUAGAAAAUCUUGACUAAAGCUCCGGCGCUCUGGGAGGGGCCUGCGUCCCAUCAGCUAGUUGGUAAGGUAAUGGCUUACCAAGGCAAAGACGGGUAGGGGGCGUGAGAGCGUGGCCCCCCACACUGGUACUGAAACACGGACCAGAUACCUACGGGUAGCAGCAGCAAGGAAUAUUGCGCAAUGGGCGAAAGCCUGACGCAGCAACGCCGCGUGGAGGAUGAAGGCCUUCGGGUUGUAAACUCCUUUUCUGAGGGAAGAGAAAGGACGGUACCUCAGGAAUAAGGCCCGGCUAACUACGUG
rnacentral:rRNA from 1 species